UACGAAGGGGGCUAGCGUUGCUCGGAAUUACUGGGCGUAAAGCGCACGUAGGCGGAUCUUUAAGUCAGGGGUGAAAUCCUGGAGCUCAACUCCAGAACUGCCUUUGAUACUGAGGACCUUGAGUUCGGGAGAGGUGAGUGGAACUGCGAGUGUAGAGGUGAAAUUCGUAGAUAUUCGCAAGAACACCAGUGGCGAAGGCGGCUCACUGGCCCGAUACUGACGCUGAGGUGCGAAAGCGUGGGAGCGAACGAGG
rnacentral:rRNA from 1 species